GCAAUCCUUUUUUUCAUUUGGGAAGAACAUUUAGUGCCAUAGUUCUCCAAACCAUGGCCCUUGUACCACUGGGAGCAUUGAGGGUCUGUGCAGAAGUACCGAAAGAAAGAAAUCAACUAUUUUCGAGUUAAAAAUAAGCUAAUUAGCCAUUCUAAGAUGAGCAUGUAAAGCCAAAUAAUACCAAGAAUCAGCUGAUAACAUAAGUGGUUCAAGUACAACAUGAUUCUAAAGCUGCUCUUGUUUUGUUGCCAUUUCUGAAUGUUUAUAUGUGCGUCUCACUGCAAAGAAAAUAAGUGCAUUUUGGGAAACAUCAAGUCCUGUGAAGUCAUGUCUACAAAAUAUAUGUUUGACAUACAGUGCUUUGAAGAAGUAUUUACCUCCUUAUGGAUUUCUGCUUUUGCUUUUUUCACACCUAAAUAUUUCAUCAUGAUCAUCAUACAGAUAUUAAUAUCAAGAAAAAGGACCUGAAUAAACACAAAAUGUAGUUGUCAAACAAUAAUUUAAUUAAUUAACAAAAACGUUAUUAGAAACAAGGUGGUCUCUUAAGAGUUUUAAAGCAUGAACAUCUCAGUAGAAUUUAAGUCCACACUUUUAUUAGGCAGUACAGUAGCCCAACAUCAUCACACUACCACCACCAUGUUUAACUGUAGGUGUUAUGUUCUUUAUGAGCAGAUACUCUUUCACAGCUCCAUGUAUUGUGUGUGAAAAGGAAUGAUAGGUGUACAAUUGCAGUGGUGUACAAGGUACUGUAAGAACAAAGAACAAAUAUUUUGCAGAAAUAACAUUUAACCUCUUAAACCCCAACCCCCGGAAACAGGGGAAGCUCCAGGUUAUUUUUGUUCUAUGUUUAUUGCUCAUACUUCUCUUACUUAAACAUAUACAUGUCUGGUAUCCUCUGAAACAUCAGACUCUUGAUUAAAAGCUGAUAUAAACCAUUUCUACGAACACCAAACACAGUUAAAACUAAGAGCAGUUGAAUCAGAAAAAUGCAGGAACUAAAUGCACGUUAUUCUAAACAGAUUAACCGGAUGUCUCGACCUCUGCUUCCUGAUUGGUGGGAUUGACGUGAAACACGUGGAGAUAACUUUAUUCUACUGGCUCUAAGGAUGAAAAGGAGGGUCCAUUUGUGCAAUUUGGCCAAUCCAAACUCGAGUUAAUGGCGUGCGUAAUGUAGGUUGUUAUUGUAAACACUGAGUACGCUGUACGGCAUGGCGCAGUCGCUUCAGCUGUUACCCACCGGACCUUCCUACCUCUGGCUGUUUAUGUGGUUAUCAUUUCACGUGUUCGAGUGUUUGUUUUUGAAACACAAUGGCUUCCCGCACAAGUUCUACACCAUUGCUGAAAGCUUUGGACCUAAAUACAAUGGACUGCGGUACUGAAGUCUGUGCAGAGGAUUUCUCAUCCAAAGACGAAUACCUUAUUUAUCCCGACAAGAUCAAUGAUGAGCAGGAAUUUGCAGUUCCACCGCUUGAAAGUUCUAUGGACAAUGGAAGGUGGUGGACAGAGAAGUGGAGGGCAUGCAGCUAAUGACACAGAUGGGAAUUCAGACCAAAAACACCUGAUUCAAGGACUAGUUUCACAUAGGACACCUGCUCUACCCUCUGCACCAUACAGCUUCCUGCUACUAGAAAGUUUUUUUUGUUUUUUUUUUAAUUGAGACAGGACUGCAUUUGACCCUUCCUAGUUCAAAAUAUAAAUACUUAUACUGAGCCAACCAGAACUUAAUAAUUUUACACCAAACAGAAAUUACUCAAAACACAGUUUUGUAUAAAUGAAGCCUAUACUCAAUUUGUGAAAACAUAAAAGAAAGCAUUUGCAAUACUAUUAUGGCGUUAGCUUUACCUUUUAAUUAGACAAGCAUAAUAGCUUUAAUAAAUCAAAACUGGACUGAUUGCAGAUUCUAUAAAACACACUUUGUAAUUUCUUAAAUCUUUUAGAAUUUUGUUUCUGGACAGAACAAUGCUGCUACAACAAUCACAACAAACGGUCCACAGAACAAAAUGUUAAAAUAUCCAAUAAAUAGCAUAAUUACAAAAGAAGAAAAAUACAAGUCAUAACAAUUCAUAAAACACUUGUCACAUUAGCAUCCCAUCAUCUUCACACAUAUUCUACUGAAUCACAAAAAUUCCUAUUAAAAGCUAUUAAUCAACAGGCCUUCAGAUACCUCCUGUAUUCCAGCUCAUCUCUCUGUCUUAAAUCGUUAAUGAGGUUGAUAGAAAGAGGGAUUAAUGAUACAAAUUAAACCUUUGCACUACAGAUGUAAUGUCUAUAGACAACCUGGUAGAACUACUUACUAUUGGUGAACAAUUGUCCUGCUCAUAAGUCAAAGAAAUAAAAUAAAACUUUUUUAGGAAUGA